GGACCAAGGAGUCUAGCAUGUGCGCGAGUCAUUGGGACUCUAGACUAAACCUAAAGGCGCAAUGAAAGUGAAGGUUCGCCUCGCGCGGACCGAGGGAGGAUGGGCGGUCGAGAGUGGCCGCCCCGCACUCCCGGGGCGUCUCGUUCUCAUCGCGAGAAGAGGCGCACCCAGAGCGUACACGCUGGGACCCGAAAGAUGGUGAACUAUGCCUGGUCAGGACGAAGUCAGGGGAAACCCUGAUGGAGGUCCGUAGCGAUUCUGACGUGCAAAUCGAUCGUCGGAACUGGGUAUAGGGGCGAAAGACUAAUCGAACCAUCUAGUAGCUGGUUCCCUCCGAAGUUUCCCUCAGGAUAGCUGGCGCUCGCUUCUGGCGAGUCUCAUUCGGUAAAGCGAAUGAUUAGAGGCAUUGGGGUCGAAACGGCCUCAACCUAUUCUCAAACUUUAAAUGGGUGAGAUCUCCGGCUUGCUUGAACUGUGAAGCCGCGAGAGAUAUCGGAUCAGAGUGCCAAGUGGGCCACUUUUGGUAAGCAGAACUGGCGCUGUGGGAUGAACCAAACGCUGAGUUAAAGCGCCCAAAUCGACGCUUAUGGGAUACCAUGAAAGGCGUUGGUAACUUAAGACAGCAGGACGGUGGCCAUGGAAGUCGGAA
rnacentral:rRNA from 1 species